AACGAACGCUGGCGGCAUGCCUAACACAUGCAAGUCGAACGAGACCUUCGGGUCUAGUGGCGCACGGGUGCGUAACGCGUGGGAACCUGCCCUUAGGUUCGGAAUAACUCCCCGAAAGGGGUGCUAAUACCGGAUAAUGUCUUCGGACCAAAGAUUUUUCGCCUUUGGUUGGGCCCGCGUUGGAUUAGCUAGUUGGUUGGGUAAAAGCCUACCAAGGCGACGAUCCAUAGCUGGUCUGGGAGGAUGAUCAGCCACACUGGGACUGAGACACGGCCCAGGCUCAUACGGGAGGCAGCAGUGGGGAAUAUUGGACAAUGGGCGAAAGCCUGAUCCAGCAAUGCCGCGUGAGUGAUGAAGGCCUUAGGGUUGUAAAGCUCUUUUACCCGGGAUGAUAAUGACAGUACCGGGAGAAUAAGCUCCGGCUAACUCCGUG
rnacentral:rRNA from 1 species